rnacentral:rRNA from 1 species
CCCGCUCAGAAACUCAAAGGAAUUGACGGGGGCCCGCACAAGCGGUGGAGCAUGUGGUUUAAUUCGAAGCAACGCGAAGAACCUUACCAGGCCUUGACAUGCAGAGAACUUUCCAGAGAUGGAUUGGUGCCUUCGGGAACUCUGACACAGGUGCUGCAUGGCUGUCGUCAGCUCGUGCCGUGAGAUGUUGGGUUAAGUCCCGUAACGAGCGCAACCCUUGUCCUUAGUUACCAGCACGUUAUGGUGGGCACUCUAAGGAGACUGCCGGUGACAAACCGGAGGAAGGUGGGGAUGACGUCAAGUCAGCAUGGCCCUUACGUCCAGGGCUACACACGUGCUACAAUGGCCGAUACAGAGGGCAGCUACCUGGUGACAGGAUGCAAAUCUCCAAAGUCGGUCUCAGUUCGGAUCGGAGUCUGCAACCCGACUCCGUGAAGUUGGAUUCGCUAGUAAUCGCGCAUCAGCCAUGGCGCGGUGAAUACGUUCCCGGGCCUU